UAAGCCUACGGGAGGCAGCAGUAGGGAAUAUUGCUCAAUGGGGGAAACCCUGAAGCAGCAACGCCGCGUGGAGGAUGAAGGUUUUCGGAUUGUAAACUCCUUUUGUUAGAGAAGAUAAUGACGGUAUCUAACGAAUAAGCACCGGCUAACUCCGUGCCAGAAGCCGCGGUAAUACGGAGGGUGCAAGCGUUACUCGGAAUCACUGGGCGUAAAGAGCGAGUAGGCGGGAUAGCAAGUCAGAUGUGAAAUCAUAGGGCUUAACCAUAGAACUGCAGUUGAAACUGUUAUUCUAGAGUAUGGGAGAG
rnacentral:rRNA from 1 species